CUUUACUUUUAGAAGAAUGAUUUUGAAAGGGCUUCAGGGUUUUACUGUUGGUUGCUUCUCAAAGAGACUGAGAACCCAGGACCUGUACUGUCAUCCUGGAGCCCAAGAUUUUGAGUGAAGGCUCAUCCAUCACCCCAGACAUCUCUUCAGCAUUGUUUGAACACUCAUCAUUGCCCUGGCAAAGCUGUAGCAUGUUCUUGUCUAGCAAGAGCCUUGGGCAUAAUGAGGUUGAGUAUCUCCUGGCCAAGCAGACCCCAGAAUCACAUGGUAAUUAGGGUUUGGUGGCUAAAGGAAAGGAUUAGGGUGCAAGGAAAAGUCUAGCUUGAAGUUCUGAACCUGGGUCCUCCCCAGGCUGCUGUCUGAAAAGAAAGUAAUGUUGAAUUGGAAAAUUAAUGCUCUCUUUGUGUUUCUAACUUUCCAUUUAUUUCUUUGGCUAUGGGCUGAGGAAUACUGGCAGGCUUAGAAGAUAUACAUAGAGCAUGACAGAAGCAAUCUUUCCAAGCAGCCAUGUCAAGGAGGAGCUGGAAAGAUGAGAAAACUGAAGCUGAAAGACAUCAAGUGACUAAUCUAAAAUCCUACAUUGAGUGGGGGGAAAUUGAAAACAGGCUAUUUUUUCUCCUUUUGCUUUAAAAAUUGUAUUUUGAUUUAUAAAACUUUGUAAACAAUAUUGACGCCCAGGGGCACAGCUUAAAAUCAUGAAUCAUUGCUCAGCCUGCAUAAAGUAAUAUCAGGUUUCACUAAAGCAAUGAAUAUUUUUAAGGCUCUACUGACGGUGUGCUGGAGUUUCCUUUUAGUACUUACAUUCUAGUGGGGAGAUGGACAGUGAAAUAAGUAGACAACAAACUACAGACUGCGAGAAGCAUUACUAAGGAAAUACUAGAAUAACAAACGGUGCCCCACCAUAGACUGGUGGCCCAGGAAAGGCUGCUCUGAGAUGGCUUACAAGAAGGUAGGAAAAGAAGCGGCCUGGCAUUGAGAGGAGAGGGAGGGAAGGUGGGAAGAGAGGAUUCCUGGCCAAAGGAUCCAAAACCAGAGAGGCUCCAAGUCAGCAAAGAGAAGCGCUUGGCGUCGCGCGGGGGGAAUUGGAAGUCGACCAGUUCAGCUGUAGCAAGGUUUUGAGGGCCAGUCUUGAAAAAACAGGAGCUCCCUUGUGCUGGGCACCCUUAACCGUAGAAAGGUGGAUUUUUCAGUAUGACAAGGCGCUAUUAAAGAGUUU
ensembl:lncRNA